AGAGUUUGAUCAUGGCUCAGAGUGAACGCUGGCGGCGUGCUUAACACAUGCAAGUCGAACGGAAACAACAAUCUUCGGAUUGGGUGUCGAGUGGCGAACGGGUGAGUAAUGUAUAGUUAAUUUGCCUCUUGGAGAGGGAUAGCCAUUGGAAACGAUGAUUAAUACCUCAUACUCCUUAUCUAGUAAAUAGAUAAGGGAAAUGCUUUUGUGCCAAGAGAUAAGACUAUAUCCUAUCAGCUUGUUGGUAGUGUAAUAGACUACCAAGGCUAUGACGGGUAGCUGGUUUGAGAGGAUGAUCAGCCACACUGGAACUGAGACACGGUCCAGACUCCUACGGGAGGCAGCAGUGGGGAAUAUUGCACAAUGGAGGAAACUCUGAUGCAGCAACGCCGCGUGGAGGAUGACGCAUUUCGGUGUGUAAACUCCUUUUAUAUAGGAAGAUAAUGACGGUACUAUAUGAAUAAGCACCGGCUAACUCCGUGCCAGCAGCCGCGGUAAUACGGAGGGUGCAAGCGUUACUCGGAAUCACUGGGCGUAAAGCGCAUGCAGGCGGUCUGAUAAGUUGGAAGUGAAAUCCUAUGGCUUAACCAUAGAACUGCUUCCAAAACUGUUAGACUAGAGUCUGGGAGGGGAAGAUGGAAUUAGUAGUGUAGGGGUAAAAUCCGUAGAGAUUACUAGGAAUACCAAAAGCGAAGGCGAUCUUCUGGAACAGUACUGACGCUGAGAUGCGAAAGCGUGGGGAGCAAACAGGAUUAGAUACCCUGNUAGUCCACGCAGUAAACGAUGAAUGUUAGUCGUUGGGUCUCUAGUAGAUUCAGUGAUGCAGUUAACACAUUAAACAUUCCGCCUGGGGAGUACGGUCGCAAGAUUAAAACUCAAAUGAAUUGACGGAAGGGNGAAUUCCAGCACACUGGNGGCCGUUACUAGUGGNUCCNAGCUCGGUACCAAGCUUGAUGCAUAGCUUGAGUANUNUAA
rnacentral:rRNA from 1 species